rnacentral:rRNA from 1 species
GGCUGAAAUUCGCCUUCCAUGAAGCCGGAAUUGCUAGUAAUGGCAGGUCAGCAUACUGCCGUGAAUACGUUCCCGGGCCCUUGUACACACCGCCCGUCACACCAUGAGAGUUGGGAAUACCCGAAGCCUGUGAGCUAACGUAAGAGGCAGCAGUCGAAGGUAGAAUCAAUGAUUGGGGUGAAGUCGUAACAAGGUAUC